UUGAUGGCGACCGGCGCACGGGUGAGUAACACGUAUCCAACCUGCCGAUGACUCGGGGAUAGCCUUUCGAAAGAAAGAUUAAUACCCGAUGGCAUAGUUCUUCCGCAUGGUAGAACUAUUAAAGAAUUUCGGUCAUCGAUGGGGAUGCGUUCCAUUAGGUUGUUGGCGGGGUAACGGCCCACCAAGCCUUCGAUGGAUAGGGGUUCUGAGAGGAAGGUCCCCCACAUUGGAACUGAGACACGGUCCAA
rnacentral:rRNA from 1 species